CUUGGCACCAGGUGGAACUUCUAAGGAAUAAGAAAUGGAAGGCCACAGGUGAGGUCCAUGUGGAUUGAGGGGCUUCCGUUGGGCAGAGGCUACACUGCUGUCUACCUUCAAUGUACAGGCUAGCUCUGGGAACAAAAAGAGCACAGUUUGGCAGUCAGAGACUGACCUGGUGGCAAAUCCCUGCUCAUAAGCUGUGUGGCUUUGGGCAGGUCACAUAACCUCUCUGUGCCCCCAUUUCCCCAUUAGAGCUAACAUUUAUAAAGCAUAAACUGCCAGGAACUGUUCUAACCACUUUACAAAUACUGACUCAUAUCAUUGGCACAGCAGUAACAUCUUCAUUUUCUUUUCUUUCUUUUUUUUUUUUUUGAGAUGGAGUCUCACUCUGUUGCCCAGGCUGGAGUGUAGUGGCAUGAUCUUGGCUCACUGCAACCUGCGCCUCCCAGCUUCGAGUGAUCCUCCUGCCCCAGCCUCCCGAGUAGCUGGGAUUACAGGCGUGCACCACCACGCCCGGCUAAUUUUUGUAUUUUUAAUAGAGACAGGGUUUCACCAUGUUUGCCAGGCUGGUCUCCAGCUCCCAAUCUCAGGUGAUCCACCCACCUCGGCCUCCCAAAGUGGUGGAAUUACAGGCAUGAGCCACCGCGCCCAGCCUAGUAUCUUCAUUUUCAGACGGGAGAACAGUUGUCCACAGACACAGAGCCAGUGAGUAGGAAAUGGGAUUUGAGCCCAGCAGCUUGGCUCUUACCCACUCCUGCACCUGUUUGCACAAAGAGGAUAAAUUACAGCUCCCAGCUCACGGGGAGGCUGUGAGAAUCAGGUGAGAGAAUGUGUGCGACAGUCUGGUAAGUGGCAGGUGCCCAGCGCAGAGGGGCUGAGGCAGAAAAGAGUCACUGCUCUGAGUUCAGGCCAUUCCAUUGCUUUUUUUUUUUUUUUUUUUUUCUUGAGACAGGGUCUCACUCUGUCGCCCAGGCUGGAGUACAGUGACCUGCGGGCUCAAGCAAUCCUCCCACCUUAGCCUCCCAAGUAGCUGGGACUACCGACGUGCACCACCACAUUUGGCUAAUUUUUUUUUCUUUUCUUUUCUUUUUUUUUUUUUUUUUUUGAGACAGUCUCACUUUGUCGCCCAGGUUGGAGUGCAGUAGCCGGAUCUCGGCUCACUGCAACCUCCACCUCCCGGAUUCAAGCAAUUCUCCUGCCUCAGCCUCCCAAGUAGCUGGGACUACAGGCGCCCACAACUGUGCCUGGCUAAUUUUUGUAUUUUUAGUAGAGACGGGGUUUCACUAUGUUGGCCAGGCUGGUCUUGAACUCCUGACCUCAGGUGAUCCACCCGCCUUGGCCUACCACAGUGCUGGGAUUAUAGGCAUGAGCCACACCGCACACGGCCUGGCUAAUUUUUUUAAAUUUUUUUGUAGAGACAGGGUCUCACUAGGUUGCCCAGGGUGGUCUCAAGUUCCUGAGCUGAAGCAGUCCACCCACCUCAGCCUCCCAAAGUGUUGAGAUGACAGGCUUUAGCCACCUGGCAUGGCAGGCUGUCCCAAUUCUAAUCUCAGCUCUCAGCUACUUACUGGCUGUGUGACCAUGGGCAAGUUAUUUAACCUCCAUGUGCCUCAGUUUCCUCAUUUUUAAUAUUGUUACAGGUGAGGAUUACAGGAUUUCACUGAUGUUAAGAAGUACCCUUUAAUAGCUCUGAAAUCAUAGUUUAAUUGGCAAUUAAAAAAAUUUUAGUGGACUAGGCACGGUGGCUCAUACCCAGCAUUUUGGGAGGCUGAGGUAGAAGGAUCACUUGAGCUCAGGAGUUUGAGGUCACACUGGGCAACACAGUGAGACUUCAUUUCUACAAAAAAAUUAAAAAAUUAGUUGGGUGUGGUGGUGCGUGCCUGUGGCCAGGUCGCUUCCCAGCUAGGAUCUCAGUAGGAUUGCUUGAGCCCAGGAGGCUGAGGCUGCAGUGAGCUGUGAUUGCGCUACUGCUCUAUAGUCUGGGCAACAGAGGGAGACCCUGUCUCAGAAAAAAAAAAGGAAAGAAAAUUAGUGGCAUAAAGUUAUAGUGGAUUUUUUUUCAAUCGAUGAGGUCUUUGAUUCUGUGAAAUAUGGUAAAUGAUGUAGCAAGCGCCCAGCACGACGUCCCUGUUCCCAUUCUAUCAGCCAGCUAUCUGAGGAGUGGGUUGGGAUGGGGCUCAGUGUUCUGAGAGAAGUGGGUUCGAGCUCUGCCGCUGAGCCCUGGGUGUGGGCGCCCAGUCGUCCGGGAAGCGCCCCACAAGCCCAGGCAAGUCCCGACAGCGGUAGCCCGAGCCCAAGCGCUGCGGGCCCGGCGUCCCAGUGACCCCAGUUCCGGGUCCGAGACACCGCCGGCGGCAUCUCCCACUCCCGGGCCCGGGCCGCUCCGGGCCAGGAAGGGAGGGACGCCCCGGGUGACUCAGCCGCCGUGACUCGGCCGCCGUGACUCGGCGGAACGGACGCCCCUCCUUCCCUCCCCUGUCGACACGUGCUCUCAGCCCCUCGACAGGAAACGGGCACCUGCAGCCUCCCAGGUGCCCCCGGCGGGCAGCGGGCGCCGUUAGGGGCCGAGAGUGGGGUCGCGAGAGUCGCCCGCAGCCUGACCCCGCGCACGUCCCGGAACCUCGAGGUCUCUAUUGGCCGCAUUUGCCAAAGGGAUCGAGGGCUGGUCUCCAGGGACCUGGCAGGUUCCACUGCCCGGACCCCCCCGGGCUCCCCAGGCCGAGAAACGAUAGGGACUUGGCGACGGAGGGGCGAAGGACAGACAGACGGACGGACACGCGGAGGGUCGCAGACCGGGCCGGGACUCCCACCCUGGCCCAGCUGCUCUCCCGACGGAUCCCGCCUCCCUCCCGUGUGGGGACGCUCACCCCAGCCCAGACUCCAGAUCCCAGGAAUUCAGCCCGAGGCGGAGAGACCCUCCUAGCCGUCGGGGCGACCACCCCAGGCGCCCACGCCCCUUCUGAAGCAGGGUGGACGCAGAAGUCACAGGGUCUCUGUCACCCAGGCUGGAGUGCAGUGGCUCGAUCUCGGCGCACUGCAGGCUCAACUUCCUGAGCUAAAGGGAUUCACCUGCCUCAGCGCCCCCUCCAAGUAAGUGGGACUACAGGCGCUGGUCACCAUGCCCAGAAAAGGAAACUGAGGCUCAGAGAAAAAGGACUUGCCCAAGGUCACACCUGUAGUGCGUGGCAGGGCCGAAGGAUGAAUCCAGGCGUGGGAGCAACCGGCCCCAGCUACACCUCCCGGCCCUGCCAAGGCCCCCUUUUUCUGGUAGGUAUCCGGUGCGCUGGCAUUUAAUAGAGGAACGCAAAGAAGCGCACGUUCCCGCAGCUCCCGAGGCCGGCUCUGUAAGGCCAGGCCUCCCGGGCAGGCGUUAUCGGGCUCACUUAAAGACGAGGACACUGAGGUCCAGAGAGGUUACAGGCCGUUCCGAGGCCAAAGGGGCGGUUCCCGGACUCGAACCUGGGCUUGUUAGAGCCCGCAGGAGAACCAGGCUCCGGCCGUGCCGCGCCCGCCGCCAUUAACGCCCACGGCCCGAGCUGUGCUCCCGCCCCGGCCCUGCCCUGCCCCUCCCGCCGCCCGCAGUCACCUCCGG